CAGGCCCUGAAUGAAGGCCGCCGGUUUGCCGUAGCCGCUGGUUUCAAGCAGGAGCCCAGAGGAAAAACCUCCCGGUCUGUUGGCGUUCCCGGCCCCGUGGAACAACCAAUUCGUGUGGGAGCGACACGG
ensembl:snoRNA